GAUGAACGCUGGCGGCGUGCCUAAUACAUGCAAGUCGAGCGAACGGACGAGAAGCUUGCUUCUCUGAUGUUAGCGGCGGACGGGUGAGUAACACGUGGAUAACCUACCUAUAAGACUGGGAUAACUUCGGGAAACCGGAGCUAAUACCGGAUAAUAUUUUGAACCGCAUGGUUCAAAAGUGAAAGACGGUCUUGCUGUCACUUAUAGAUGGAUCCGCGCUGCAUUAGCUAGUUGGUAAGGUAACGGCUUACCAAGGCAACGAUGCAUAGCCGACCUGAGAGGGUGAUCGGCCACACUGGAACUGAGACACGGCCCAGACUCCUACGGGAGGCAGCAGUAGGGAAUCUUCCGCAAUGGGCGAAAGCCUGGCGGAGCAACGCCGCGUGAGUGAUGAAGGUCUUCGGAUCGUAAAACUCUGUUAUUAGGGAAGAACAUAUGUGUAAGUAACUGUGCACAUCUUGACGGUACCUAAUCAGAAAGCCACGGCUAACUACGUG
rnacentral:rRNA from 1 species